UUAAUAAUGAUAGGUCUCGAUAUAAAAGAUAAAACUAAGUUGCGUAACUGUAAGCAGCAGAUCAGACAAGUAUCCUAUCUUUGCAUUUACUUUAUGCAAUGGACACGAGUAAGAAAUUUUCAGAAUUAUAUUAUCUGUGUGUCAGAUUAUUUACUCGAUUGUUAUUGAUUAUGUAUCCAAACAUUUGUAUUCAUACAAGUUCUUAAAUUCUAUUCGAUCUUUGUUUAUCAACACAGUAUUAUUGUACAAUCCAGAUAUCUAUUAUGUUCGUUAAUUUCUAAGCAUGGUUAUAAAAGUGUUGUCACUUGGAUAAUUAUUGUAUUUAAUCACAUGUUGAUACAUACUUAUUGGUUUCUAGUAUGUAUACAUUAACUUAAGAGUCGUCUAAGUUAUUUGACUCGGCUAGACACAAAUUUAAAAAUAUUGUUGAUCAUGAUAGUUCGUUAUUGAUAUCCAACCGAAUUGUUUUGGUUCGGAUUCUAGAUUAAUUAUGAACAUCCCGACUAUGAAAAACUUUUGUGUCUAAGGCGGAUAUGUUGGACGAAAAUAUCGUUUGAACAUGUAGUAGUAAUCAAUAUAGGGCAUAACGGGCUGAUCACCCCCGUGCCUGUAAGUUAUGACGGUUUACAAAUGAAGUUCUGUUUAACCUUUUCAAAAAUUGAAAACAAUGUUCAUAGUUUGUCGACUGCUCUCUAUUUAUAGUCAGUAUGUAGUUUUAAAAAUUUGAAAUAAAAUUGAUAUGUUGUUUAUUGUUACUUCAGCUUACUUCACAACUGUUGAUUCGUUGUAGAAGUGCCCUUCACAGAAAACAUUUAAUUCUUUCAGCUAACUUUUAUUGAUUGUUAUUACUUGUUGGGUAAUCAAAUGCUCAUUCUUGCUUAAUUUAAAUAUUUUCAGUUAAGUGUGAUCAACCAGAAGGCUCUGCCAAGAACAAAGGGAAAUGAAAGCUGACAGAAUAAGUUUGUGUUAUCUUAUGUAAUAUCUAGACUUAAUUAAGAUGAUAAUAUUUAUUAACUAUCAUGUAAUAAAUGUUUUAAA
rnacentral:lncRNA from 1 species